rnacentral:rRNA from 1 species
GAUGAACGCUAGCGGCAGGCCUAACACAUGCAAGUCGAGGGGUAGAAGUUUUCGGACUUUGAGACCGGCGCACGGGUGCGUAACGCGUAUGCAAUCUGCCUUGUACUGAGGGAUAGCCCAGAGAAAUUUGGGUUAACACCUCAUAGUAUUUUAGUGUGGCAUCACAUUAUUAUUAAAGGUUACGGUACCAGAUGAGCAUGCGUCCCAUUAGCUAGUUGGUAUGGUAACGGCAUACCAAGGCUACGAUGGGUAGGGGUCCUGAGAGGGAGAUCCCCCACACUGGUACUGAGACACGGACCAGACUCCUACGGGAGGCAGCAGUGAGGAAUAUUGGUCAAUGGGCGCAAGCCUGAACCAGCCAUGCCGCGUGCAGGAUGAAGCAUCUAUGGUGUGUAAACUGCUUUUGUACGGGAAGAAACACUCCCUCGUGAGGGAACUUGACGGUACCGUAAGAAUAAGGAUCGGCUAACUCCGUGCCAGCAGCCGCGGUAACAC